rnacentral:rRNA from 1 species
UGAGAGCCACGGACACGAAAGUCAUAGCGACAGUUCGUAUCCAGAGUACCGCAGGACACGAGGAACCCUGUGGGAAGUCGGGGGGACCACCCUCCAAGCCUAAAUACUACCUGAUGACCGAUAGAGGAGCAGUACCGUGAGGGAAAGGUGAAAAGAACCCCGGGAGGGGAGUGAAAUAGUACCUGAAACCUUGUGCUUACAAGCAGACAUAGCCCGUUAAGGGGUGGUGUCGUACUUUUUGUAGAACGGUCCGGCGAGUUAUAGUAACUGGCGAGCUUAAGAUAGUCAGUACCGAAGGCGUAGGGAAACCGAGUGUGAAUAGCGCGCAUGAAGUUAGUGGCAAUAGACCCGAAACCGGGUGACCUAUCCAUGAGCAGGUUGAAGUGGAGGUAAAACUCCAUGGAGGACCGAACCCACGUUCGUUGCAAUGACCGGGGAUGAGGUGUGGCUAGCGGUGAAAUUCCAAACGAACUUGGAGAUAGCUGGUUCUCCCCGAAAUAGUUUUAGGACUAGCGUUGGGUAUGAGUUUAACGGCGGUAAAGCACUGAAUGGGCUAGGGGGCGAUAAGCUUACUGAACCCUAUCAAACUAAGAAUGCCGUAUAAAUGCUUACCAGCAGUCAGACUGCGAGUAAUAAAAUCCGUAGUCAAAAGGGAAACAGCCCAGAUCUACAGCUAAGGUCCCUAAUACAUGCUAAGUGGAAAACGAUGUGAGAUUGCGAAAACAACCAGGAUGUUGGCUUAGAGGCAGCCACUCGUUCAAAGAGUGCGUAAUAGCUCACUGGUCGAGUGAUCUUGCGCGGAAAAUUUACCGGGGCUAAGCAUGUAACCGAAGCUUAGGGUUUACGCUUUGCGUAAGCGGUAGGGGAGCGUCGAAUACGGGGCGAAGUCAUACCGUAAGGAAUGGUGGACUGUAUUCGAGUGAGAAUGCCGGAAUGAGUAGCGAGAAUUAUGUGGGAAUCAUAAUGGCCGAAAAUCUAAGGUUUCCUGGGGAAGGUUCGUCCGCCCAGGGUAAGCCGGGAGCUAAGGCGAGGCCGAAAGGCGUAGUCGAUGCACAUACGGUAGAAAUUCCGUAGCCGGCGCAACUGUUAAGAUCACUGACACAUGAGUAUAGCUCUACCGGGCGUUGGUUGCCCCGGGCGUAAGCGAGCCGAAUGAGGCGAAGUGAGUGAAGCUUGUGGCGAGAAAAGGUGAUUGGAUUGGUUGUGCUGCCCGUACCGCAAACCGACACAGGUAGAUGAGGAGAAGAUCCUAAGGCCAUCGGGAGAAGGGUUGUUAAGGAACUAGGCAAAUUGACCCCGUAACUUCGGGAGAAGGGGUGCCUACGAGAGUAGGCCGCAGAGAAUUGGCCCAAGCAACUGUUUACCAAAAACACAGGUCUCUGCUAAAUCGAAAGAUGACGUAUAGGGGCUGACGCCUGCCCGGUGCUGGAAGGUUAAGAGGAGGACUUAGGGAAACCGAAGGUCUGAAUUGAAGCCCCAGUAAACGGCGGCCGUAACUAUAACGGUCCUAAGGUAGCGAAAUUCCUUGUCAGGUAAGUUCUGACCCGC